GGUGCCCUUCCUUGGAAAGCCCUAAUUCCUAGUCUAUAAAAGGGGUCCUCUCUCUUGGAUGUCCAAUGAUCAUUUUCUUGGUGUUUUUUAUUUUCAAUGCCUCUUCUCCUGCUCUUCUAUUCCUCCUCUUGAUCCUCUCUUGCUUUGGAGUGUCCAAGGUACUUGAAGAAGGAGGAACAUAUCAACUAUUAAAGUUGCUUGUAGGCU
rnacentral:lncRNA from 1 species